AUCCUCCAGAUUCCAUAUCCCUCAAACCUAAAUAUUGGUCUGAGUGGCUAAAAAAGAGGAGGAAAUAUAAAACUGAAAUGGACUUGGAUUCUUUAAGUGACAAACAAGUUCAUUUCAACCAAAC
rnacentral:snoRNA from 1 species